AGAGUUUGAUCCUGGCUCAGAACGAACGCUGGCGGCAGGCCUAACACAUGCAAGUCGAACGCCCCGCAAGGGGAGUGGCAGACGGGUGAGUAACACGUGGGAACGUACCCUUCGGUUCGGAAUAACUCAGGGAAACUUGAGCUAAUACCGGAUACGUCCGAGAGGAGAAAGAUUUAUCGCCGAAGGAUCGGCCCGCGUCUGAUUAGCUUGUUGGUGAGGUAACGGCUCACCAAGGCGACGGUCAGUAGCUGGUCUGAGAGGAUGAUCAGCCACACUGGGACUGAGACACGGCCCAGACUCCUACGGGAGGCAGCAGUGGGGAAUAUUGGACAAUGGGCGCAAGCCUGAUCCAGCCAUGCCGCGUGAGUGAUGAAGGCCCUAGGGUUGUAAAGCUCUUUUACCUGGGAAGAUAAUGACUGUACCAGGAGAAUAAGCCCCGGCUAACUUCGUGCCAGCAGUCGCGGUAAUACGAAGGGGGCUAGCGUUGUUCGGAAUCACUGGGCGUAAAGCGCACGUAGGCGGAUUUUUAAGUCAGGGGUGAAAUCCCGGGGC
rnacentral:rRNA from 1 species